AGGAUACAUAAGCACAUUUAUAUUGAAGAUGAGAAUAAUGAUUUAAUCAGAGUUGGACAGUCUUAUCUUAAAUUUGAGCUUUAUGUAAAUAUUCAAAAACAUUUAAGCUACUAAUGCCUCAAUUAAUGUAAUUUUAUUGGUAUCUAUUUUUAUUUCUGAAAUUUACCACUCUCGACUUAUACUGGAGUCAAUGUUUUCCCAGUUUUUUUGUGGUGAAAUUAGGUGCCUCGGCUUAUAUUCAGGUUGGCUUAUACUCGAGUAUAUACGGUAUAUAUAAAAUUAUAGAUCUAUAUCUAGCUCUGCAUUGUUUAUGUAGGCAUUGAAUGUUUGCCUGUUACUAUGUUGGAAACUGCCCUGAGUCCCCAUGGGGAGAUAGGGCAUGGUACAAAUGAAGUGUUGUUGUUGUUAUUAUUGUUAUUAUUAGUAUUAGUUAUUGUUAAUACCAUAUUGUUUUUGUUGACCCUACUUUUCCACUUACAGAGCUAGUUUAAUGUUUUUCUUUAAAAUACAGUAAAUAUUCAAAAACCUUUAACCUACUGGUGCCUCAAUAUAAUUUUAUUGGGAUCUAUUUUCAUUUUGAAAUUUACCCAUAGCUGCUGCAUUUCCCAGCCUCGGCUUAUACUCGAGUCAGUAAGUUUCCCCAGUUUUUGUGGUAAAAUUAGGUGCCUCGGUUUAUAUUAGGGUCGGCUUAUACUUGAGUAUAUACGGUAUGUCAUAACUGGAUUACUGAGCAUUCUGCAAAAAUUUGAAUGGUCCCCUUUGUUGCUGUCCUAUAACAGCUGCUAAAUAGGUUAUUUUGAUACACCCUUGCUUGCCACGUAUUUGUCCAUCCAUCUGUGGACUGGUUUCCGAGGUUUCAAUAUGUUAUGCAUCUUUAUUGUGAUUUUUAAAAUAAGCUACUCUAAAACACUUAAAGGCAGGCAGAGAUCACUAUAUAAAUGAAGUAAAAAAGCUUUGUGUGUCCAUUGAUAGCAAAACAUUUCAAUUCCAUUGGCUAAAACUUUAAGCAUCUACUCUGUGACAAUCUAUGAAUAUCUGGAAAAUACUUUGUGACCAAGCUCAUAAUGUCUGCAGUUAUCCCUUUUUCAUUAAGGAGGGUGAGUAAUUUGGUACCUAAAAGGAUUGUGUAUCAGUCAAGAAUAAAAUGAUAAACAAAUAGACUUAAGAAUUAUUUUUAGUGUUCAUAUAAAAAUGUGGUGGGUUACUAGUGCUUCACACAAAUACCUUUUGACAAUGCUGUACUCUAAGUUGCAGAUGUGAGAUGCAUCUAAGAGAUAGAGCAAGUUGCCUGAGGCCAUUACUGAUAACAUUGAGUUUAUAGCAUAGACAUGAAACCAGAGCUUGAAAAGCUUCUUUUUUUUUGGAUUAUACCUCACAUAAUCUCUAUUUCAAUGGAUUCUAAGAGCUGAAGUUAAAAAAAUGGAACUCUGAGAUUUAGAAAUGAUUUACACUAAAACCUUUCAAGUUCAGCUCAUACUCUCCCUCACCACUACCAUACCUUUUUCACUUCCCACUGCGAAAAUUAUCCAGCAAAAGUUAUGUGUACUGAGGUUUCAUUACAUUAAAUGUAAAAUGUUAUCGGAAUACCAAACAUUUUUAUUGAAAAUAACUAGACUAGAUGUCUCAUAUUUGUUCCAAGAGAUCCACUGUCUUAUUUUGACAUUGGUUUUUACCACAAUUGCAACAGAAAAUGUAAAUUACAUUUCUUGCAAUUUUCCCAGUCAGCUGGAUUUGUGUAUUAAUAGGUGCAUGUGUGCUCCUUGGCUAUUCUUGAAAAGGAUAAAUGAAACUAGUUACUGCUAGAAAUAUUCUCCCCUGCUCUAAUGACAGCUUUUUACUUAUGCCCUGUAGAUGUGUGUUAAGCAAUCAUGUUUAAUUCAUUUGUACUUUAGAAUAUGGGUCAUGUGUUUUUCGUUUCUUGUGAUUAGACAGGCUGACAGAUUCUGCUUAGAUAGCACAUGGCUUAUUACAAAAUGGAGAUGAAGCUGUUAACUUGCCUGCUAUAGUUUCACAGUCCAUCCUGUUCUAACAUAAUAAUUUAGGAGGCUAUUGUCUUCCUAGUAUUCUAUUUUUAAAAAGAAAACACUAAUACUUCCACGAAGGCACCAUAUGAUUCCUCUUGUCCCUGUUUUGGCAGCUCAGUCAGUGUGGAUCAGCCCUCAACGUUGCCAGAACGCUGUGUUCUGCUGACAUUGUUUUAAGAAACCAGUGCAAUUAAUUAUAAAAAAAAAUGCCCUUCUGCUCUUGUUGGUUGUUGUUAUUGAAAGAAAAGAACUCCAGCAGCAAUUAAUGCCAAUAGAAAGGGAAAGAAUUAUAAUUGAGAUUUAUUUCAAAACUGAAAAUCAAGAGAACCAUAAAUCUUUCCAUGGUCAUUGUUGGAUUAUGAGCAGGAUAGAAGCCUUUCACAUUUGCUGAAGACAAUCACAUGGCUGUCAUGACUGUUUAAAUGAGGCUGCAGAUUUCAGUGAUGUAUUGGGUAAAGACACAAGACUGGCACAUGUGUCAUUCAGAAUCAAGAUGCUGGAUUCUUAACUUCCACUAGCCCCAGCUAAUGAUCAGAGAUGAUAGGAGUUGUAGUCUACCAGUACAAUGCAGCUUUAUGUCACCCCAAGUUAGUAGGGUGGCUUUUAUUCUGAAUAUUAAAGAUGCUCAGAUCUGUCAGAUGGAUUCAGUACCUUAGAUAGUUAUUUUAGAGUUCUCAGAGUGGAUUCACUGCUUCAGUGAUGUGGAAGCCACUAGCUUGAGAGUAGGGCAGAAUAUAAAUUCAGCAAGAAAGAAAGUCAGACCGACUAGGGGGCCACAAAUGCCCCACUUUUGUUGUAAGAUAUUAGAGCAGUUACUUCUGUCUUAGGUCAAGAGAGAGCAAAAAUUAACCCAUGGGCACUCCUUCCAGCUCUUUAUUAUAUCAGUCCAAUUAGUCUUUCUACCUAUGAAACAUUUCUGCAGGACUUGAAUGUUAUGCUCUAAUAAGCACUUUCUCACUUCUAUUCCUGUAAUUAUAGAAUUAAAAUGAGGGUUCAUCUAACCAUUUUGUAUUUGUUGGAGCCUGACAGGAUUUUAUGUUUUUGUUAGCAUGAAGAAAACGAGAGCGUAGAUACAAAGGUGAAGUCUGUAACUGGACUUAAUUAGUCCUAAUAAUGUACCACUUCUUUUCUUAUAGGGUUUCUGUGUCUUUAAAAAAUAAAUGACAGGCAGGAGUACAACAAUGUGAUUUUGGGCAGUGUUGAGAUAUAGUGAUGGGGAAAGCUGUGCCUACUAUUUUUAUACUUCUCAUGUAGCUUUGAAAUGUAGAGACACUCAACUGGGGGGGGGGGGAUGCCGAAAGAACCCUAGCUUCACUACUGCAAUAAACAGAAACAUUUUUAACUUGCAACUAUUUUGUGCUAAUUCUUCAUGAUGAUAAAGCACAGUUUUUGAUUUUUCUAAAUCCCUGUGAAAGAUAGCCUUAAAAUACAGAGAUGUGUGUCUGUUUGUACAAUAGUGUCACUAUUACCCAGUCCAGAGAGCAAGAAUGACUUUCUCUUCUCUUCAACUAUCUGUGCUAAAGCAUUUUGCAUGAGGACAAGGAGGUGGAGCCUUGUUCGUUCAUAGCAGCGUUCAGCUUGCCUGCUUCUGCUUCCCCUCCCUCGUGUGUGCGCUUGUGCUUUUCUCUCUCCCGUUGAGUAGAAUGAACAGUUUGCCUUCAGACUCAAGAUCAGUCUCCAGUUUGUAGUUUGGGGUGUACACUGAGAGGACAAGGAAGAAAAUAAAACAGUAGAUGCCAUGGGCCAACUCUGCUGCUAUCCUUUUGGAAGAGAUGAGGAGAAAAUCAGAGUGACUUGAGAAACUGCAAGUCGCUUCUGGUGUGAGAGAAUUGGCCCUCUGCAAGAACUCUGCCCAGGGGAUGCCCGGAUGUUUUGAUGUUUUACCAUCCUUGUGGGAGGCUUCUCUCAUGUCCCCGCAUGAAGCUGGAGCUGAUAGAGGGAGCUCAUCCGCACUCUCCCCAGAUUGGAUUCGAACCUGGCAGCUUUCAGGUCCUCCUGUAGGUUAAUGGAGCAUCCAAGAAGAUUCCCAGCAGUUCUGUCUAUGGAGAUCGGACCACCAAAAGAGUGUUAGCUUCAUCUUCUAGCCCAAGAUUGACAGCAAGCUCUAUUAACAGGCAAAUAAAAUGAUGAAAAUUGGAGAUGAAUAUUGCCAUAUGGCAAUUUAAAUGAAUUGACCCACUUAUGAAGUAGUGGAAGAGUAAAUAAAUACUGUAAAUGAAAUGAAGAAAUAUAUGAACAGUCAAAAAUAUUCCUUUUUGGCCAGUUUUCUAAUAGGACACACUAGAUGCCCUGUAAGGCAAUGUUACAGUCAGACAGGAUGCCUCCUCCAUAAAGAAUGGUAUGCCAUAGAUACGGUUGGCGAUGAUCCACUUACACAAGUGCAACAUUACAAUUGUGAAAAGACUUUCCAAUAGAAAUAUGAGUAUACAUCAGACUAGAGAGCCAUCAAACAAAAUAGCAAAGAUAUGAACAAAGCAACAAAGGUUUGGACAGUCAGCUCCUGGCUUAGUAAGCCAGGAUAAGUAUUAAGGGCUUUUUUUUACACCAGCCAACUAUUCAUCUACUGUUACCUAAGUGUAUGUAGUGGAUACAUACCAGGUUGAGUACUUUUGAUACCACACCGCUCUUCACUGGUGCAGCUGAGACAAUUCACAAAUCCGUGGUUCUGCAGUUGUAUUUUGUGCAGCUCCCAUGUAACCCCACAAAGCGAGAGGUUGGGGAUGGGGAAGUGGAUCCCACUCCCUGAAAAAAAAGUUUACUGCUAGCGCUGAAAUGGAAAGGGCCCAUUGCUCCAAAGUAGGUGAUGGGGACAUUGGUGGAUCGGAAGCUAUUGACAAGAUUUACCUAUUAAUAGCUAGGAGCAGGAAAAUCACAGAUAGACACACUGGUAGCAGGAUGCAUAUGGCAUCAUAUGAUAGGGACCAUCAAUUUUGGUCCUACUGUAAUGCUAGUUUGAUUGCCUCAUGGCAAUAGUGCUUUAUAGUUCAAUAGUGCUUUAUAGUUAAUUGCACUUUCCUAGUUUCCUUUCUUUUUCAUCUCAGUGAUGAAAUUGCAUCCAAAGAACAGCAUGCAAAUUUAUAGAAAUGCAAAUCCUAGUUUAAUAAGACAGGAUGUGAUAACCCAAAAUGACACAAUUGCCUGCAAAUUACAACUCACACAGUUUCAGAACACAAGUUUUUGCAAUCAUGCUUACUAAAUUCCACGUAAUUGAAAGACACAAUCCUUGUUUUAAGGGCAUGUUCCUCAUUCCCUGAUAGUGUUAAAGUCAAUAACAUGUAGCAGCAUAUCCUUAAUUUCCUCAAAGGGGUGUCCCCAUGCUAUUUUCUGUGUUAAGUAAACAAUACCUUAGCAUAGUCAUUGGGUGAACAUUAUGAAAAUCUAUUGGACCCUCCCUUAAACUAGCAUUUAAGUAGCCUUUUGUGUGUUUUAGAAUAUAUACACUCAACAAAAGAAUGUUAUAGCCAGUUAAAGCUCUCAAUGUUUUUAUAAAACCUGAUGGAGCUGUUCCACUCUUUUACUUAACUUAGACAAUUCAAAUGAACUUGUAAAUGUUGGGGAAAUAUAAGUUCUAUAAUUGACAAUUUCCUGUCAAUUGACAAGUGUCCUCAAACAUAUGGUGAAAAUAUAUAUGCUAUGGCUAAGAACAAAGCAUGACAAUAAUGCACUAAGAUGACUUGCUAAUGUUCCCUUUAAAAGUAAGAUGAUUUUAAUAUUUCUUCCAGAAUAAGUAACAUUUAAUUGAUCUUCCAAAAAUAUUAAAUUUUAGACUUUUUUCUGUCGUUCUUGCCAUUUUUAUUGUUUUGUGUUUUAAAAAUAACAUAGAUAUUAAUAAUGCAUUAAGUUAUUAAUUAUUUGGAAGUCAUGAAUUAACAAGUUAAAGACAGUGGUGAGUUUUGCGAUGUAGGCAUUUACCAAUGUAGUCCUCAUAGUCAAGGACAACUGAAAAAUCCAGGAAGGUCUCAUUCUAAAUACUUCUUCCUUCUGUCAGCAAUUUCUAACUAUCUUUGUCUAGUCUUUUGUAAAAUAAAUAGAUAUUGUCUGUUUGAAACUAAACUAGCCCAAACCACUUCAGAAUAUAACUAAAAUAAUUCCCAAAAACACAUCAUUGCUGAUAAACUACAUUCUCCUUCCAGCUACUCUGGGGAUUGAAAGUAAACUCCUACGGAACAGAGUUGUGCAAAAUGAGAGACUGGUGUUGUGAUAGUCCCUUAUUAUCAAAAAGUUCCAGGGUUUCGGUCUUACAAACUCUCUUCUGCACCACAUCACUGAUUACUCUUCUUUUUAAAAAAAAAAAAAAAAUCAGUAAAUAACAAGUAAGCCCUGGGCAAGAAUAAGCUAUUUCAACCAUAACUACAAGAGGAAAAAGAACAAGUCUAUAAUGAGGAGGAGAGAGGAGGACACUUCUGAAACUUUUCAACCCUGGCUAAUUGGAAGAUUGCAUGAGCCAACUAUCAUACUAUACCCACAGUGAAAUUUGCCACCUUUCUGAAGGAAGCAGCUGGAUUUUUCACUGCGAUAAACAGUGUAGCACUAUUUGGUAAUUUGAUGACACACUUCAGUCAACUAACAGCUUCCUGUGGAGGGAGCUUUAUAAUGCGGAUAAUAAUACAUAUGUCAUGCAGAGAUGUAUAUCCCUGUGAUAUUUCAUGCUAAGCAUUACAGUGUAUACCAACCAAGACAAUUUUUCAAAUGUAUACUGGAAGUUGGAUGAGGGAAAGAAAUAGAAAAGGAAAAUCAGGGCUGGGUUUUAUAGUAUUGCCUUGUAUUUAAAGAUAGAAUAUAUAAAGCCAUGAAGUUUACCUUUCAAAACCAAAUAUUUUCUGGGACACACAACCAGUGAUGCUCCUCAUGGUGCCUGAUUUUACUGUUAACUAAUUUGCCACUCUCGUCUUCCUAAGAACUGCCUAUAUGCAGGCUGUAAUGUAAAUAAGAGUAGGUAAGGUAAAGGUUUCCCCUGAUGUUAAGUCCAGUCGUGAUCGACUCUGGGGGUUGGUGUUCAUCUCCAUUUCUAAGUCAAGGAGCCGGCAUUGUCCAUAGACAUCUCCAGGUCAUGUGGCCGGCAUGACUGCAUGGAGCGCCGUUACGUUCCCGCUGGAGCGGUACCUAUUAAUCUACUCACAUUUGCAUGUUUUCGAACUGCUAGGUUGGCAAGAGCUGGGGCUAACAGUGGGCGCUCAUUCCGCUCCUGGGAUUUGAGCCUGGCACCUUUUGGUCCGCAAGUUCAGCAGCUCAGCGCUUUAACACACUGUGCCACCCAGGGGCCCCUAUGUAAAUAAGAGUAGGAGUGGGAAAUGUCAAGCUCUGGGUUGAAUUUGGCAGUCCUGGAGUCCCAGUAUAGCCCUUUGAGACUCCCCAGAUAACCCACGUUUUAGCGAUUUGUCCAGGACCCCUUCAGUUAUGACUGCCAUGGCUGCAUCCUAUGGAAUUUCAGGGUUUAUAGUUUGGUGAGACACCUAAAGUGUUCUGGCUGAAAAUUCUAAAUGACCCCAACAAACUGCAAAUUCCAGCAGAAUCCAUGGAAAUUAAAGUGGAAUAGUUCUGUAAAUGUGUAGUAUGAAAGGGAUCCCCACACUGACAGGAUGAAUUGCAGCUCCUAAGGUUUAGCUUCAAACAGUAAGAGCUUUAAGCUAAAAUAUGAUGGUUUAUUUUGUUUAAGCCAACUUUACCUUCUCCCCCCCCCCCC